UGCCCACUGAUAUAAUAUUAAAGGGCUGCAGUAUAUUGACUGUACAAAGGUAGCAUAAUCAUUUGUCAUUUAAUUGAUGACUUGUAUGAAGGAUUGGAUGAAAUAUAAACUGUCUUUAAUAUAAAAUGUAGAAUUUAAUUUUUAAGUUAAAAAGCUUAAAUUAAUUAAAAAGACGAGAAGACCCUAUAGAGUUUUAUUGUUGAUGAAAAUUAUAAAUUUUGUAAAUGUUAUUUGUUAUUUUUAAUUUUUAUUAUAUAAUUUUGUUGGGGUGAUGGAAAAAUUUAAUAAACUUUUUUUUUUUUUUUACAUAGAUAAGUGAUUUUUUGAUCCAAUUUUAUUGAUUAUAAGAAAAAAUUACCUUAGGGAUAACAGCGUAAUUUUAUUUUUUAGUUCAAAUAAAAAAUAGAGUUUGCGACCUCGAUGUUGGAUUAAGAUAAAAUUUAAAUGCAGAAGUUUAAAAUUUUGA
rnacentral:rRNA from 1 species